CGAACGGCAGCACGGACUUCGGUCUGGUGGCGAGUGGCGAACGGGUGAGUAAUAUAUCGGAACAUACCCAGUAGUGGGGGAUAACUAUCCGAAAGGAUAGCUAAUACCGCAUACGAUCUGUGGAUGAAAGCAGGGGAUCUUCGGACCUUGUGCUAUUGGAAUGGCCGAUAUCUGAUUAGCUAGUUGGUAGGGUAAAAGCCUACCAAGGCGACGAUCAGUAGCUGGUCUGAGAGGACGACCAGCCACACUGGAACUGAGACACGGUCCAGACUCCUACGGGAGGCAGCAGUGGGGAAUUUUGGACAAUGGGGGCAACCCUGAUCCAGCAAUGCCGCGUGAGUGAAGAAGGCCCUCGGGUUGUAAAGCUCUUUUGUCAGGGAAGAAACGGAGUUCUCUAAUAUAGGAUUCUAAUGACGGUACCUGAAGAAUAAGCACCGGCUAACUACGUGCCAGCAGCCGCGGUAAUACGUAGGGUGCAAGCGUUAAUCGGAAUUACUGGGCGUAAAGCGUGCGCAGGCGGUUUUGUAAGUCUGAUGUGAAAUCCCCGGGCUCAGCCUGGGAACUGCAUUGGAGACUGCAAGGCUAGAGUGUGUCAGAGGGGGGUAGAAUUCCACGUGUAGCAGUGAAAUGCGUAGAGAUGUGGAGGAAUACCGAUGGCGAAGGCAGCCCCCUGGGAUAACACUGACGCUCAUGCACGAAAGCGUGGGGAGCAAACAGG
rnacentral:rRNA from 1 species